GGGACUGGUCGAAAGACCCGGGUCCUACCACGGCGGGGAGUUACUCC
rnacentral:ncRNA from 1 species